UUGAAUUGAAGAGUUUGAUCAUGGCUCAGAUUGAACGCUGGCGGCAGGCUUAACACAUGCAAGUCGAACGGUAGCAGAAAGAAAGCUUGCUUUCUUUGCUGACGAGUGGCGGACGGGUGAGUAAUGCUUGGGAAUCCGGCUUAUGGAGGGGGAUAACAACGGGAAACUGUUGCUAAUACCGCGUAAUAUCGAGAGAUUAAAGGGGGCUUUUGGCUCCUGCCAUAAGAUGAGCCCAAGUGGGAUUAGGUAGUUGGUGGGGUAAAGGCCUACCAAGCCCGCGAUCUCUAGCUGGUCUGAGAGGAUGACCAGCCA
rnacentral:rRNA from 1 species